rnacentral:rRNA from 1 species
AUAUAGAGGCUGGCGACCGGCAAACGGGUGCGGAACACGUACACAACCUUCCUUGAAUAGGGGGAUAGCCCAUAGAAAUGUGGAUUAAUACCCCGUAAUAUAGCGGUGUGGCAUCACACUGUUAUUAUAGUUUCGGCGAUUCGAGAUGGGUGUGCGGCUGAUUAGGUAGUUGGCGGGGUAAAGGCCCACCAAGCCUUCGAUCAGUAGCUGAUGUGAGAGCAUGAUCAGCCACACGGGCACUGAGACACGGGCCCGACUCCUACGGGAGGCAGCAGUAAGGAAUAUUGGUCAAUGGACGCAAGUCUGAACCAGCCAUGCCGCGUGAAGAAUGAAGGUCCUCUGGAUUGUAAACUUCUUUUAUAGGGGGCGAAAAAAGGUCUUUCUAGAUCACUUGACAGUACCCUAUGAAUAAGCACCGGCUAACUCCGUGCCAGCAGCCGCGGUAAUACGGAGGGUGCAAGCGUUAUCCGGAUUCACUGGGUUUAAAGGGUGCGUAGGCGGGUAGGUAAGUCAGAGGUGAAAUCCUGGAGCUUAACUCCAGAACUGCCUUUGAUACUAUCUAUCUUGAAUAUGGUGGAGGUAAGCGGAAUAUGUCAUGUAGCGGUGAAAUGCAUAGAUAUGACAUAGAACACCUAUUGCGAAGGCAGCUUACUACGCCUAUAUUGACGCUGAGGCACGAAAGCGUGGGGAUCAAACAGGAU